CAGUAGCCACGGGAACACGAAGGGGGCUAGCGUUGUUCGGAAUUACUGGGCGUAAAGCGCACGUAGGCGGAUAUUUAAGUCAGGGGUGAAAUCCCAGAGCUCAACUCUGGAACUGCCUUUGAUGCUGGGUAUCUUGAGUAUGGAAGAGGUGAGUGGAGUUCCGAGUGUAGAGGUGAAAUUCGUAGAUAUUCGGAGGAACACCAGUGGCGAAGGCGGCUCACUGGUCCAUUACUGACGCUGAGGUGCGAAAGCGUGGGGAGCAAACAGGAUUAGAUACCCCUGUAGUCCCUGUCUCUUAUAC
rnacentral:rRNA from 1 species